GACGAACGCUGGCGGCGUGCUUAACACAUGCAAGUCGAGCGGUAAGGCCCUUUCGGGGGUACACGAGCGGCGAACGGGUGAGUAACACGUGGGUGACCUGCCCUCAGCUCUGGGAUAAGCCUGGGAAACCGGGUCUAAUACCGGAUAUGACUCCAUGACGCAUGUUGUGGGGUGGAAAGCCUUGUGCGGCUGAGGAUGGGCCCGCGGCCUAUCAGCUUGUUGGUGGGGUGAGUGGCCUACCAAGGCGACGACGGGUAGCCGGCCUGAGAGGGCGACCGGCCACAC
rnacentral:rRNA from 1 species